CAGCUGUACAACAUCACAGCCCAGUCAGCUGUACAACAUCACAGCCCAGUCAGCUGUACAACAUCACAGCCCAGUCAGCUGUACAACAUCAGACAUCCACAGCCCAGUCAGCUGUACAACAUCAGACAUCCACAGCCCAGUCAGCUGUACAACAUCACAGCCCAGUCAGCUGUACAACAUCAGACAUCCACAGCCCAGUCAGCUGUACAACCCAGUCAGCUGUACAACAUCAGACAUCCACAGCCCAGUCAGAUGUACAACAUCACAGCCCAGUCAGCUGUACAACAUCAGACAUCCACAGCCCAGUCAGCUGUACAACAUCAGACAUCCACAGCCCAGUCAGCUGUAC
ensembl:lncRNA